CUCCAAGCGACGACUACAGUGUAUGUACAUAUUUAUAUGAAUAUUUAUGUGUUUCAUGUCUGUAAAAUAAAACACAUAGAUAUUUUAUUGGGAUAUUUAUACCAUACAUUAUAGAUUUUUUAAUUCUCUUUGUAGGCAGACGAGCAUACCAUAAGGUGGACCCUUAUGGUAAUGAUGGUGAUGACGUCAGCAAUGCCAGAUGCAGAGUUAAGACAAAUAUACCAAGAUAUACCUAUACGGAUACCUACUUUUAGAAAAUAUGCUGAAGCACGAUCAUAAUUGGUGCUGCAAUAACAUUAAACAAAAUAUUUGGUACCAGGAAAAUUCUCGUGACAAAAAAAUGCAUAAUACUAAUGUUAUAGGAAACAAGCCAGUUCUUAUUCGUCGAUGCCGUGCGUGACAAUGACGUCACAAUACAAAUACUUAUACGGGACAAGUGUGUGCUUAUUCAUCGAGUUUCGUAGGCAAUGAUGGAACUAAUGUGUGGACUUUUUUUUUAGUAUAUAUGUAGACAAGUCACAUUUUUGUAUACUUAGACGGGUGGACGAGCUUACGGACCACUUGGUGUUAUGUGGUUUCCGGGGUCCAACAGCGUAAUUAACUGCGUAAAUGCCGGCACCUACCUUGAGACAUGAGACGCCUCAGUUCUAUUGCACAAAGGCUGCUCCACCCUUUCGGAACGCAUUCCCACUUCGACAGUUCAGCUGAUGCUAUGUCUUCAACGGAGCCCACAGUCAUUACAAAAUUAAUGACACCAUGUGACAAGAUGUGCAUGUUUGAAUUGUAUUAUAAACGCGGCCCUCUGACACUUUUUGGUAGAAAUAGUGACGUUUCCAUGCGAGCCUUAACAUCAAUAAAUAGAGUCAGGUUAAUAUUACUAAAUCGCAACUCAUCUAUAUAUUAAUACGCGAAGCAAAAACUUUCUAAUCCUUCUUCCGAAAAUUGCGCGGACGGAGGAGUAUGAAAUUUCCCACACUUAUAGAGAAUAAAGAGAAGGAGUGCACAAUGAUAAUAGCUUUCUAAAUUAUGCAUAAAAAAUACAUUAAAUCAAUAAAUAAAAACAUUACACACCUACCAUGUAUUUGACACACACACGCAUGCAUACUAUUUGUUUAUUGUCAAACUUUUCUUAUUGCUUAUAGUCUGUGGUCAAAUUGAGUAUAGAUUAAAUAUUGUUUGUUAUUAAUAUUUGUCUAAAGUGUAUUUUUGACGAAAUCUAUGAUUAUAGAAGUAUAAUAAGUCUUUGAAAAUAGAAUCAUAAUAGUGUACAAACUUAUAAUUUCAAUUAGUUAUAGUCGAAUUUCGACUACCGGGGGACCACUAGUUAUAAUAAAAAGCCUAAUAGGUAGGUAGGUAGAUUUUAACGCGCCCCGCGUUCCGUUGGGAAUUCGCGCGUCAUCUGUUUUGAAUUGUCUUACAUUGCGUACAGAUAAAAAGACUAAACCUUUUUUUUUUAAUUAUUAUAUUGUGAAUACUCCAUGUCCCCAUAUACGGCACAUCAAAGUCCAGAAACCGCACGUCAGCUAUUCGUAUUACAUUUGUAGUUAUUAUUUUUGUGUCAUCUGCUAAGUUAGACACUUAAAUAUAAAGCUAGCCGCUACAUACACACACUAUAAUAUUUUCAAUGAAGUUCAUAUUGUCAGUAUUGUUGUAUGUGUGCGACCUGUAUUUGUUCAAUAUUAUUGUGGAUUUCUAGAAACUUUGAUUUUCUUGCAACAAUAUCGGGGUGAGGCAGGGAUAUUGCCAAUAAUAUUGUCGUGUGCGGGUUCGCUACAAUAUUUUAGUCGAGAAUUAAAUUUACAGGAAGGUGGACGUACUUGUUCAAAAUGUACAAUAUUAGUUUUUGAAAGCUGCUGUCUCUCAUUCUCAUGUAAUUAAAAUCAUCUUCCUCUGUAUCCCGCCCGCAGUCCUUUUAUUAGAUUAAAAUGAGUUAAUUCGGCUUUUUUUCUCAUCCAAGCUUUUAUUCAUCUUUUUUUUCUUAAUUGUUUUUUUAGCAGAUAAAAGUAAUGCAACCGUCAAUACAUUUCUUUUUCUUUUUUUCCAUUUUACCAAACGUACCUACGUAUACAAAUCAAGCUACUGAGCGACUGAGUCAGAUUUUACCUCGAAAAGUUGACAAUAAUAUUGCACAGUAUGCGGUACCGAAUAUUGAUCAGUGUUUUUGUCAAUAUUACAUUGUCAAUAUUAUUGGGUGUGUGCGGCUAGCUUUAAGCGUAAUAACUAUAGUUAUAUAAAUAUAGCGGUACAACACUCUACUCAGUUUAUGUGGAAUAAUUUUACGCAUUUAUUACGUUUCUGUCCUGUUUAUGGAUGCUUAGAAUUUCAAAACAUGUAUUAUCUAUGUUUCAAAAUAUAACGGUCUUUAGUUCCAGUAAGUGAUUAUACAAUAAUAAUAAUUGACCCAGCUGAGUUCAAGGUUCGCGUCUCGGGCGACGCGGCGGCGGCGUCGGCGGCGGAGCGCGACUGGUUCGAAAAAUAAAAACCUCACAAUUCACACGACGGUCUUGAACCGGGAAUUCUUUUAUUAAUUUUUUACGAUUAUAUUGAUUGUGUGGUUACGAGAACCAAAAACUAUUAUAGUGAUAAAGCACGCGGGGAGGGGUGACAUACAUUUAAUUUGUUCAGAAAUAUUUGUUUUCGUGUAACGUUUUUUUUUUGUAUUCACAAGGAAACUGUAAUGUCUAAAUCAUUAUAAUAUCUGCUUUGAUUGUCAUUAAUUUUAGCUUUAAAAAUGUAUUUUUUGUUCGUUUUUCGAUAACCAGGUCAUUGUUGCUUUGAUUCUAGAUGUUUUGACUUCAUUUAAUUACUGCUUUUUGGAGGAGUGCGUUUAUUUAUCACCAGCCCUUAAAGCAAAACAUUACUGCUUCUUUUGCUACUAACUAAAAUCAUUACUACAAAAUAAGAGCGAAACUGACGUAGCAUGGACUGAGGUUCUGUUUUGCAUAACGCGAUCAGAAAAAAGUACCUGCAGAAUUUGUUGUUAAAUGUAAUUAUGCUUCAGGUUACCUGCAUUUGAAGCAGUCUGGAGCCUCCGCCCUUUUCCAUUCUGGUAGAAAUGACACACGAAACACGCAAAAAUGAUGAAACCAAUAAAAAAAAUAAAAUUCAAACGUCUUUACAAAAUUGUAUAAUAAAUUUACGAUGAAAAAACAUUAAAAUUGCAAUACGCGAUUUGUAAACAUAUCAUUGAAACACAAUCACAAAGUUUGACACGAACGACAGACUUAAGUCGAUACUAUAAACUUUUUCGGAAACCGCGUAGUUUUCAAACGUUUGUUAUAUUAUCUAUGUUUUUUUUUAAAAUCUUUACACAAAUUAAAAUCGUUUAUGUUCAUAUAAAACGUUGCGAUACCGAUCAAACGCGCCUGCCGUAGCCAAGCAACUGGGACUCUGGGACUCAGCUGUGUUGAUUCUGUGGCGAAACAACGCGAGAUGGCGCGGCGGGGGAACAGACAGCCUGCAUGACUACGCGCUGAGUAAUCGACUAGCUGCACCUACACGCCCUGAACACCUCGACAAACCUGAAUGCCGCUCGAUAAAGCCUCCGACGAAAAAAGCGAUCGUGUACACUGUACUUAAGAGACAAAAUUGUUUGGAUACGUUACAUUAAAAGCAAAAAACUUUGCAUAUAAAAGCUUGACGAUAACGUGAAAUUGCUGAUGAUUCAAAGGAUAUUAUGCCUUACAUUGUUAGGCUUAAAGUUCACCUAUAGAAAUUUUUCGCGAAGAUCGUUAUGUAAAUAUUAUUAAAGUACAGUGAAAGCUGUAUGUAUGUAUUUUAUCAGUGCAACGACCAAAAAUAUAUACAUACUUUGGUA